AGCGAACGCUGGCGGCAGGCUUAACACAUGCAAGUCGAACGGGCAUAGCAAUAUGUCAGUGGCAGACGGGUGAGUAACGCGUGGGAACGUACCUUUUGGUUCGGAACAACACAGGGAAACUUGUGCUAAUACCGGAUAAGCCCUUACGGGGAAAGAUUUAUCGCCGAAAGAUCGGCCCGCGUCUGAUUAGCUAGUUGGUAGGGUAAUGGCCUACCAAGGCGACGAUCAGUAUCUGGUCUGAGAGGAUGAUCAGCCACAUUGGGACUGAGACACGGCCCAAACUCCUACGGGAGGCAGCAGUGGGGAAUAUUGGACAAUGGGCGAAAGACUGAUCCAGCCAUGCCGCGUGAGUGAUGAAGGCCCUAGGGUUGUAAAGCUCUUUUGUGCGGGAAGAUAAUGACGGUACCGCAAGAAUAAGCCCCGGCUAACUUCGUG
rnacentral:rRNA from 1 species